AUCACCACCAGGAUGAUCAUCCAAGAACUUUGUCACAUCAUAAACCUAUAUAUAACCAUCAAAAUGAAACACACAAAAAAUGUAAACUUUGUCAUAUAAGUCCCUAAUUCCACACAAUCAGAGACCUAGAUUAAGUGGGUUAUCAAAAGUUCAUACAUCAGAACAUACAUGAACUACAUGAACCUUACUAGCUUUAACUACAGAUACAAGAUCACACAGAGACAUCUUAAGCAGCACCAACUAUCACAUUCAAUUAUAAAGACGUAAGUUUUUAGCAAUUUCUCUGUGAUUUAGACUUAGAAAAGUAACAUUAAUCUAGCAAAUCAGAUCAGAUCUAUCCCCAAACUUGUUACUACAUAACUCUAGAUUUAUAAAUCCAAGUCAACACAACUCAAGAAUUUCGGAUCUCACGAAGAUAAGAUGCAAAAUCUAAGGGAAAACGGAAAAUCGAAUGAGAAACUGGGAUCGGAGAUGUAGGACCUUGCCGUCGAUGACGAUCCAA